CAGCCCCGCGGUAAUACGUAGGUGGCAAGCGAUGUCCGGAAUUAUUGGGCGUAAAGGGCUCGCGGGCGGUUUCUUAAGUCUGAUGUGAAAGCCCCCGGUUCAACCGGGGAGGGUCAUUGGAAACUGAGAAACUUGAGUGCAGAAGAGGAGAGUGGAAUUCCACGUGUAGCGGUGAAAUGCGUAGAGAUGUGGAGGAACACCAGUGGCGAAGGCGACUCUCUGGUCUGUAACUGACGCUGAGGAGCGAAAGCGUGGGGAGCGAACAGGAUUAGAUACCCCAGUAGUCCCUGUCUCUUAUACC
rnacentral:rRNA from 1 species